GGGUCCAUAGCUCAAUGGUAGAGCAUUUGAUUACAGAUCAAGAGGUAACCAGUUCGAACUAGGAUGGGCUCU
rfam:Ipomoea nil DNA, scaffold: scaffold2036, cultivar: Tokyo-kokei standard.